UGUAUUUAUUAGAUAAAAAACCAAUGCCCUUCGGGGCUCCUUGGUGAUUCAUAAUAACUUAACGAAUCGCAUGGCCUUGCGCCGGCGAUGGUUCAUUCAAAUUUCUGCCCUAUCAACUUUCGAUGGUAGGAUAGUGGCCUACCAUGGUAUCAACGGGUGACGGGGAAUUAGGGUUCUAUUCCGGAGAGGGGGCCUGAGAAACGGCUACCACAUCCAAGGAAGGCAGCAGGCGCGCAAAUUACCCAAUCCCGAUUCGGGGAGGUAGUGACAAUAAAUACUGAUACAGGGCUCUUUUGGGUCUUGUAAUUGGAAUGAGUACAAUUUAAAUCCCUUAACGAGGAACAAUUGGAGGGCAAGUCUGGUGCCAGCAGCCGCGGUAAUUCCAGCUCCAAUAGCGUAUAUUAAAGUUGUUGCAGUUAAAAAGCUCGUAGUUGAACCUUGGGCCUGGCUAGCCGGUCCGCCUUACCGCGUGCACUGGUCGGCUGGGCCUUUCCUUCUAGGGAUCCGCAUGUCCUUCACUGGGUGUGUCGGGGAACCAGG
rnacentral:rRNA from 1 species